rnacentral:lncRNA from 1 species
UCUCCCCCUUAAUGUAAUGUUGGAAGCUUUUAGCUACUCUCCCUUAAUUCAAUAUCUCUUGUUUUAGAUGCUCAACUUCUUUUCACUCUUUCUUUUUCUCUCCUUUCGUUCUCAUCUUUUUCUUUGUUCUCUCCCUGAUUUUGUCAUCAACAAAAUAGAGUCAAACAAACAUAAGCAAUAGGAGAAUAAAAACACGAAUGAUAAAAUAUGA